AUAGUUUAGUAGAAGGAACACGUGAUGGGAAUCUAGAAGACCCAGGUCUGAUCUUGGCUUUGUUCAGACAUUAACCAGCUGUGUGACUUUGGUUCCUGCUAGAUAAAGGGACAGCUUUCCACAGAUGAACAGCAGCCUACAAAUGUCUCCCCUGUUGAGAGCCACCUUGGGAGCUGGCACUUUUCAUUCUGACCUGCCCAGCAUCAGACAUCACCAGAUCGAUGACAUACACUCCACAAGGGAUUGAGGUUCUGGCAGCCAGUUUGAUCAUAAAAUUAAAAGCUCUUUCUGGAGUGCAGGAACCUGAGAGGAGGAUGCUCUUCCUCCCCCUCCCAACACUGUCCGGCUGCCCUCUCAUACCUCCUUCCACUGCAACAAGCACAGAGACUGAUGUUAAUAGGUCAGUGGGUAACAGAGUAACAGAGUGGUGGAUCAGAUUAUAUUUAGGGAUCCAGAACAGCCCUCCCCCUCCAUUAGCAAUGAAUUAUAAUGAGGACCAUAAUUUGGAGACAUCAGUUCAGUGUGGAGCUCUAUCCAUUGUACCACCCAGCUGCCCACUUCAUCAGGCGAAUCAUCCCUAAUUCCUUCAACUCCUUCUCAUAAGGUUAGAACUUUUUAAGUCUUUCCUCAUCCUGGUUGUCCUCUGGAUAUCCUCCAUUUGACCAAUAUGCUUCU
rnacentral:lncRNA from 1 species